AAUAAAGAAUAAAUAGAAUAAGAAUCCUAUACGAAUUGUUCUCUAAAUUUGUUAGGCCCAUUAGUACAAAAAGCCCAUAUUCAUUUUAUUAGGGUUUCGCUGUCCACUUUAACUUUAUAUAUAUUCGCCAUAUCCACCAUCAACAAACACAUCUCAGCUUCUAAACACAUUUUCACACAGAUUUAUUUUUGUUUAAUAAUUUGAGCAGUGAUGAUAUCUAGAGAAAGUCAUGCACCACUCUGAUAUUAGUGAUAUGAGCCAUGUGAUGCGAUCUUUGUAAAGAUCAAACCAUGAUGCGGACCGUAUAUAGCCAUAAGCUUCUGGGGAUGAACUUUGGUUACUGAUGGCUUCUUUCUGCAUUUUUUAAAACCUAUUUUUUUGACUUUUUGAUUAUUCGAAAUUAAUUUUUUUUAUGAUUCAGUUUUGAAUAUUUGUGAAAUUGAGGGAGUAGAGAGUAUUGGAGUGGGAGGAAUCGAAAGGUAAUAAGGAUUUAUUUAUUUUUCGAUUUGAUUGGGAAAAAAAAAGAAUUAUGUCUUUCCGAUGCCUCCCAUUCCCAUGGCUUCCGUUCACUUCCCCGAUAUUGAUUUCAUCACAUCUGAGGAUUAUAAUUGCUGAUUUACUGAGUAUUGUUUUCUGGUGAAAUUGAGAUGAUGAUCGCACUGGGCUCUGAGCAGUUUUUGUAAAACUGUUUAUAUUGAUGCACAAUUGCUGCCUAGAAAGCUAUAUCUGAUCACUCAUACUUAUCGAAUCACUAAGUUUCGUUGUUCAAUCAUUGGUACUGAAGGAGUUAAACUGGA